CCUGCAGGCUCCCUGGAACUAUUUGUUUCUGAGACUUGCUUCAAAUCCAUGGCAACCUUCUGAUGGGCCUAGUAAGUCAUGAUAUUUGAUGAAGGAGGCUCAAUUAUGUCACCUGGUACUUCAUUCAACAAAUGAUAUAGCCUGCUCUCUGGAUGAUAAGAAGUAAAUAUCUAAAUGAAAGGCCAUAAGUAUCUGAAAAGGAGGAAAAACUGAAAAUAAGACAGAACAUAACAGCCCACGACAUAACAUACCCUGCUCCAGGUCAUUAAUACGAGGCAGAGCCGCUUCUCUCUGACAGUGUCCCAAUUACUGCUGCAUGUACAACAUGGAAGAGUCGUAAGGACAAGGGCUCUAACAGCAGUCAACUUAACUCAUACCGAUAGCCAUCAGGUCAGUGGUUGCUGACCUGUGGGGAAUGAGAGCCAUCAGAUCAAAAAGUUUACUCGGAGACCGGAAAGACCCAUAUGUUGUUUGGCAUGACGGCUGGUAACAGGAGCAGUGCACAACUUGUUAUACACAC